AUUGAACGCUGGCGGAAUGCUUUACACAUGCAAGUCGAACGGCAGCACGGACUUCGGUCUGGUGGCGAGUGGCGAACGGGUGAGUAAUGUAUCGGAACGUGCCCAGUCGUGGGGGAUAACGUAGUGAAAAUUACGCUAAUACCGCAUACGAUCUAUGGAUGAAAGCGGGGGAUCGCAAGACCUCGCGCGAUUGGAGCGGCCGAUAUCAGAUUAGGUAGUUUGUGGGGUAAAGGCCCACCAAGCCAACGAUCUGUAGCUGGUCUGAGAGGACGACCAGCCACACUGGAACUGAGACACUGUCCAGACUCCUACGGGAGGCAGCAGUGGGGAAUUUUGGACAAUGGGCGAAAGCCUGAUCCAGCCAUUCCGCGUGCAGGAUGAAGGCCCUCGGGUUGUAAACUGCUUUUGUACAGAACGAAAAGGUUUCUACUAAUACUAGGAGCUCAUGACGGUACUGUAAGAAUAAGCACCGGCUAACUACGUGCCAGCAGCCGCCGUAA
rnacentral:rRNA from 1 species